CAGGGAUUGCCCUAGUAACGGCGAGUGAAGCGGCAACAGCUCAAAUUUGAAAUCUGGCCCUUGGGUCCGAAUUGUAAUUUGUAGAGGAUGAUUUUGGUGCGGUAUCUUCCGAGUUCCUUGGAACAGGACGCCUUAGAGGGUGAGAGCCCCGUACGGUUGAAUGCCUAGCCUCUGUAAAUCUCCUUCGACGAGUCGAGUAGUUUGGGAAUGCUGCUCUAAAUGGGAGGUAAAUUUCUUCUAAAGCUAAAUACUGGCCAGAGACCGAUAGCGCACAAGUAGAGUGAUCGAAAGAUGAAAAGCACUUUGAAAAGAGGGUUAAAUAGCACGUGAAAUUGUUGAAAGGGAAGGAUUUAUGACCAGACUUUUUCUGGGCGGAUCAUCCGGUGUUCUCACCGGUGCACUUUGCCCAGUUUAGGCCAGCAUCGAUUUUCGGAUAGGGAUAAAAGCUUUAGGAAUGUGGCUCCCCCGGGAGUGUUAUAGCCUAUUGUAUAAUACCUUUCUGGGGAUCGAGGUACGCGCUUCUGCAAGGAUGCUGGCGUAAUGGUUAUCAAUCACCCGUCUUGAAACACGGACCAAGGAGUCGAACAUUUGUGCGAGUGUUUGGGUGUUAAACCCUCACGCGUAAUGAAAGUGAACGGAGGUGAGAGCCCUUACGGGUGCAUCAUCGACCGAUCCUGAAGUUUUCGGAUGGAUUUGAGUAAGAGCAUAACUGUUCGGACCCGAAAGAUGGUGAACUAUGCGUGGAUAGGGUGAAGCCAGAGGAAACUCUGGUGGAGGCUCGCAGCGGUUCUGACGUGCAAAUCGAUCGUCAAAUCUGCGCAUGGGGGCGAAAGA
rnacentral:rRNA from 1 species